rnacentral:rRNA from 1 species
UACGUAGGGGGCUAGCGUUGUCCGGAUUUAUUGGGCGUAAAGAGCGUAUAGGCGGCCAGGUAGGUCUGGUGUGAAAACUCGAGGCUUAACCUCGAGAUGUCAUCGGAAACCAUCUGGCUAGAGUCCGGAAGAGGAGAGUGGAAUUCCUGGUGUAGCGGUGAAAUGCGCAGAUAUCAGGAAGAACACCAAUGGCGAAAGCAGCUCUCUGGGACGGUACUGACGCUGAGACGCGAAAGCGUGGGGAGCGAACAGG